rnacentral:rRNA from 1 species
GGGAGCUUGCUCCCUGAAGUCAGCGGCGGACKGGUGAGUAACACGUGGGCAACCUGCCUGUAAGACUGGGAUAACUUCGGGAAACCGGAGCUAAUACCGGAUAAUGCAYARCCUCUCAUGAGGYUAUGCUGAAAGAUGGUUUCGGCUAUCACUUACAGAUGGGCCCGCGGCGCAUUAGCUAGUUGGUGAGGUAACGGCUCACCAAGGCAACGAUGCGUAGCCGACCUGAGAUCGGGUGAUCGGCCACACUGGGACUGAGACACGGCCCAGACUCCUACGGGAGGCAGCAGUAGGGAAUCUUCCGCAAUGGUACGAAAGUCUGACGGAGCAACGCCGCGUGAGUGAUGAAGGUUGCAAUUCGGAUGCGUAAAACUCUGUUGUCAGGGAAGAACAAGUGCCGGAGUAACUGCCGGCACCUUGACGGUACCUGACCAGAAAGCCACGGCUAACUACGUGAGCCAGCAGCCGCGGUAAUACGUAGGUGGCAAGCGUUGUCCGGAAUUAUUGGGCGUAAAGCGCGCGCAG